UUUUUUUUUUCUUUUCGUAUUGAGGAUUGAACUCAGGGGCACUUUACCACUGAGCUACAUCUCUGGUCCUUUUUAUUUUGUGACAGGUUCUCACAGAGUUGCUGAGCAUCUUGCUGAGAUGCUGAGACUGGCCUUGAACUUGCAAUCUUCCUGACUCAAACUUUCAGCUCGCUGGCUAGGUUUAUUAGUAUGCACCACUGUGUGUGGCCAGUUCACCGUUUUUUUUUAAUUCACUUUUUUUUUAUUUUAAUUUUUUAUUUGUUUUAAUUAACUGUACAUGAUAUUAGAAUACAUAUAUGCAUUUUGAUGUAUCAUUCAUAGAUGGGAUAUAAUUUCUGAUUUUUUCUGAGUGUAUGUGUUGUACAAUUUUAUUGGUCAUACAGUCACAUAUAUACAUAAAGUAAUAAUGUCUGUUUUAUUGUACAUGCCCUCCCUUUCCCUCCCUUCCCCUCCCUUCCUAUCCCGACUUACCCUCCCCUUCCCUCCCUUCACUUCCCUCUACCUAAUUUAAUGUAACACUAUUCUUCCCUAGUGUUCCUGCCUUAUUGUGAAUUUGCAUCCACAUGUUAGAUAAAUCAUUCAGCCUUUGGUUUUUGGGGAUUGGCAUAUUUCACUUAACAUGAUAUUCUCCAGCUUCAUCCAUUUACUGGCAAAUGCCAUAAUUCCAUUCUUCCUUAAAGCUUAGUAAUAGUCCAUGGACUUAGUAAUAGUCCAUUGAACACCAGCAGUAUGAAAGGUUCUGUUCCCUGCCUUUUUGUGACUCAGGAAGGCAGUCACACCAUAUUUUCUUUAUCCAUUCAUCUUUUAAAGGACACCUUGGUUGGUUCCAUAUUUGAGGGAUUGUGUAUCCAAUUUAGCAUUUUCUAGUCUAUUCACAUAUUCAUAAAGCAGUGUAACUGUUACAAUCUUUUGUACAUGUUUUUUCAAUACUGGAUUGAAUCCAGAGCCACUUUGCCACUGAGCUAUACACCUAACCUUUUUUUAUUUUGAGUUGCUAAGGCUGGCCUUGAACUUGCAAUCCUCCUGUCUCAAUCUUUUUAGUAGCUAGGAUUACAGGUGUACACUGAAAGGCGAGUGACUCACUGUGACAGUGAUUUAACCAAGAGAUUUUAUUGGGGUGUUGCCCAAAGGGGAAGAAAAGAAGAGACACAGAGCAGAGAGAGGAGAGGAGGAGAGCAGAGAGAAAGAGAGGAGAGAACAGAGAGAAGAGAAAGAAAAGGAAGGGGGAAGAGUGGAAGAAGGCAGAGGGCUUGCAAGCUUUGGCUUAGGAAGGAUUAUAUAGGUGACUUGACAGGUGCUGAUUGUCAGGGUGACUCAGGAGCAAGCAGACUCAGUGUCCUGUGGGGAUUGGUCAAGAAAACCUUUGAAUUUGGUGCUCUUUGGCUUGGUGCCCUUUGGAGAGGAGGGGUAGGGGUAAGUGAUCCCGUGAUGUUCUCCUGAGAGGAAACUUAACUUUGGCGGGGAGUCUCCCACAUACCCAACAUUCCUCCCUGUUUGUUUUUGUGUUGGGAGGAGGGCAAUGAGAUUGUCUGGCUACUUCCUGCUGGAGAGGGACAAUGAUUAUGAAGGAAGAGAGGGAUGGUCAGAGUGUGUCGACAAGAGAAGCAUAGAUGUAAAGGCCAGGGCGCUGAAGAUGGGAAUUUCCUUGGGGCUGAAAUCGAUGAAAGUUCCUCGAAGUCAUAGGUCAUGGGUAGUCUCGAUCCAAUCUUUGUCCCUGCAAAUGGGGGGAUUCAGCCAGAUGUCCUGUUGGAGGGCCUCCAUGGACUCCACGAAGCAGGUGCACCAUGUGAUAACCCUAAAACACCAAAGACAUCUGAAGGUAAGGAGAAGAGAAGGAAAGAGGAGAUAACACUUUGGCUUCUGGCCAGAAGUCCAGUGAGAGGGACUGGCUGAGAAAAGACCAGCGGUCAGGAGGAGGCACA
rnacentral:lncRNA from 1 species